rnacentral:rRNA from 1 species
ACUCCUACGGGAGGCAGCAGUGAGGAAUAUUGGUCAAUGGGUGCAAGCCUGAACCAGCCAUCCCGCGUGAAGGACGACUGCCCUAUGGGUUGUAAACUUCUUUUGUAUAGGGAUAAACCUACCCUCGUGAGGGUAGCUGAAGGUACUAUACGAAUAAGCACCGGCUAACUCCGUGCCAGCAGCCGCGGUAAUACGGAGGGUGCAAGCGUUAUCCGGAUUUAUGGGUUUAAAGGGUCCGUAGGCGGACUUAUAAGUCAGUGGUGAAAGCCUGUCGCUUAACGAUAGAACUGCCAUUGAUACUGUAAGUCUUGAGUAUAUUUGAGGUAGCUGGAAUAAGUAGUGUAGCGGUGAAAUGCAUAGAUAUUACUUAGAACACCAAUUGCGAAGGCAGGUUACCAAGAUAUAACUGACGCUGAGGGACGAAAGCGUGGGAGCGAACAGGAUUAGAUACCCUGGUAGCGACUGA